AUUGAACGCUGGCGGCAGGCCUAACACAUGCAAGUCGAGCGGAACGGCGGACGGGUGAGUAAUGCCUAGGAAUCUGCCUGUUAGUGGGGGAUAACGUCCGGAAACGGGCGCUAAUACCGCAUACUAUCAGAUGAACCUAGGCGGGAUUAGCUAGUUGGUGGGGUAAAGGCCUACCAAGGCGACGAGCCGUACCUGGUCUGAGAGGAUGAUCAGUCACACUGGAACUGAGACACGGUCCAGACUCCUACGGGAGGCAGCAGUGGGGAAUAUUGGACAAUGGGCGCAAGCCUGAUGCAGCCAUGCCGCGUGUGUGAAGAAGGUCUUCGGAUUGUAAAGCACUUUAAGUUGGGAGGCGUUACCAACAGAAUAAGCACCGGCUAACUUCGUGCCAGCAGCCGCGGUAAUAC
rnacentral:rRNA from 1 species